AAAUAUUAAAACCCUAGACCAAAUUUCUCUCUCUGUCUCUUACGGCUCAUCAGUCAUCUCUCUCAGACUCUCCUUGGUCCUCGACUCCCCUCUCAGUCUUGCUCGAUAAUCCGAGAAAUUUACAGCAACUUUCAAUCGUAAAGGUCAUUAUUUUGUGGUUUAUCAAGGAUUAAAAGUAUGGAGUCUCAAAAUGAAGAGAAUCCGGUUGGUUCAUCUUCUAGUACUUUUCCUAUAGAGAGUGAGAGUCAAUUGCCUAUGCAAGUCGAUAAAGUUAUUGAUGAAAAGUCCGGAUUGCUAGCUCCCGUUCAUAGUUUUGCUACAGAUGAUACACGAGGAAUCUUUUUAUGGCGGUUCUUCCUUGACUGCCUCCAUUAUGUUGUUGCUAGCAAAUACCACUAUUUUUGGUUUUGGAUCUUCCAAAUCAUUCCCGCAGGAGAUCCGGACCCAUUUUUUUCUGAUCCUUCGAGAAAAAGAUUCAUUCUCUUCAUAAAAAAUGGAGGUGGGAAAAGAAAACUUAUUUCUGACGCAUGGAAUCAUUUUACAUCGGUGAUGAUUAAUCGUGUUCGUUUUGGUAUUUGUAAGUAUUGUAAUACUCGUAUCAAAUCAACAAGAAAUUGUGGGACAUCGUCCAUGUUAGAUCAUAUCCGUAAUCGAUGUCGCAAAAAGCCAAGUAACUUAGACAAUGAGGGUAGUUCGGUGGGUGAUGGUAGCCAACAACACUAUUUUGUCAAGAUGUUUCACACAGAGAACUUGCUCAUGUUAUCAUUUUGCACGAGUAUCCA